UGGGAAUUUUGGACAAUGGGCGAAAGCCUGAUCCAGCAAUGCCGCGUGUGUGAAGAAGGCCUUCGGGUUGUAAAGCACUUUUGUCCGGAAAGAAAUCCUUGGCUCUAAUACAGUCGGGGGAUGACGGUACCGGAAGAAUAAGCACCGGCUAACUACGUGCCAGCAGCCGCGGUAAUACGUAGGGUGCAAGCGUUAAUCGGAAUUACUGGGCGUAAAGCGUGCGCAGGCGGUUUGCUAAGACCGAUGUGAAAUCCCCGGGCUCAACCUGGGAACUGCAUUGGUGACUGGCAGGCUAGAGUAUGGCAGAGGGGGGUAGAAUUCCACGUGUAGCAGUGAAAUGCGUAGAGAUGUGGAGGAAUACCGAUGGCGAAGGCAGCCCCCUGGGCCAAGUACUGACGCUCAUGCACGAAAGCGU
rnacentral:rRNA from 1 species